GCAAAGUCUUGUGAGGGAAGUGAGUUGUUAUCUUUGGUUAUCUAGCUGUAUGAGUGUAUUGGUCUUCAUAAAGCUAGAUAACCGAAAGUAAAAACUCCUUCAAGAUCUUCGAGGAGCGUAUGAAAAUGAAAGACCACUUCAAGAAACAGU
rnacentral:pre_miRNA from 1 species